rnacentral:ncRNA from 1 species
CGGAGUUAAAGCCAAACCUGUUGUGAAACAGGGACGGAAAGUUACGGGUCUCAGGUUUAUGGUGGUACUGAGAUGGCUGGACCGCCUCU